rnacentral:rRNA from 1 species
UGAGGAAUAUUGGUCAAUGGUCGGGAGACUGAACCAGCCAAGCCGCGUGAAGGAAGACGGCGCUCAGCGUUGUAAACUUCUUUUGUCAGGGAACAAAGGCGCCACGUGUGGCGUUCUGAGUGUACCUGAAGAAAAAGCAUCGGCUAACUCCGUGCCAGCAGCCGCGGUAAUACGGAGGAUGCGAGCGUUAUCCGGAUUUAUUGGGUUUAAAGGGUGCGUAGGCGGCGAGUUAAGUCAGCGGUAAAAGCCCGGGGUCUCAACCCCGGCCCGCCGUUGAAACUGGCUUGCUUGAGUUGGAGAGAAGUAGGCGGAAUGCGCGGUGUAGCGGUGAAAUGCUUAGAUAUCGCGCAGAACUCCGAUUGCGAAGGCAGCCUACCGGCUCCACACUGACGCUGAGGCACGAAAGCGUGGGUAUCGAACAGGAUUAGAUACC